rnacentral:rRNA from 1 species
CCUACGGGAGGCAGCAGUAGGGAAUUUUCGUCAAUGGGCGCAAGCCUGAACGAGCAAUGCCGCGUGAACGAGGAAGGUCUUCGGAUCGUAAAGUUCUGUUGAAGGGGAAAAAGAGCGGAGAGAGGAAAUGCUUUCUGAUUGAUAUUACCCUUCGAGGAAGUCACGGCUAACUACGUGCCAGCAGCCGCGGUAAUACGUAGGUGGCGAGCGUUGUCUGGAUUUAUUGGGCGUAAAGCGAGUGCAGGCGGUUCAAUAAGGCU